CCCCCCCCACACACACACACCUGAGUAACCUGACACCAUUGAAUAAUAAAAACUGAGUUGACCUAAGAUAGUAGUUUGAAUUUGUUUACUUUUGUUUGACCUGACAUAUGCAGCAAGCAAGUCAGUUGGCGUACAAGGUCGUUGGUGGUGUCAGACUGGAUGAGGCGUUUCAUCUUUGGGAGGGAUUCGAGUCAAAUAUGAGUUGACUUCAACAGAUGCGAUAUAUGAAUAAUGAUAAGUCCCUAAUUUUCUGGUUGUCAUAAAAGCAAGUUUUGGUGCAUGAUCCAUACAUUUUACCCGAUUCAUUUUUGUUUUGUAAACAUAUGUUGUUCUCUGUUUUUUUGUUAUGUUUUUUGUUAAUACGAAGCAAUAUCAUAAAUCGUAAAUCAGAUUCAGACAAGAGUUGCUAACAAUAUGCAUGGCGGAAUUGUAGGUUUCGUUUCGAUUUUGUUGUCUUGAUGUUCUUUAAUAUUUUUUACAAAUCUUUUUAUAUUACAUGUCGACACGGAUGCAAAUGGGUUUGCUCUAAGUUGUGGUGAUAUUUGUUACUGUUUGCAGUUGAGAUUGUACCUUGCCACUAAAAGCCUCACACAAAAUGUGUUCUUAGGACAAAGAUCUCGCGAGUAUUCUUAACAUAAAAGUUCAUGUGUGAAUGAAAUUUCUAGAGCAAUACACAUCAUCAAGUUCCUAGAAUAUCCUCCCGGUUCAGGGCUUUCGAAUAUUAGAAAGGAAGGCAUUUAUGCUAUUUUUUUGUUAAUGGCGUGGAGACUUUAAGUUGCUUGAAACGACAAGAAUUUUAAAGAGCGCAAUACCUCACAAUUCAGAAUAAAAAAUGACAUAAAAGAACUUCCUUUUGGUGGACGUUGAAAAGAUCGAAGGUUACUGGUAGUAAUCUCGCAAACUGGAACGGGUUUGCAAGUAUUGAUUUCCAGCUAGCUGUGUUUUUUUUUCUUUCUAAUGGUGUAUGCUGGAGUGGUUUGCUCAGUGAGGCAGUGGUUGUAUUUUUUUGUU